rnacentral:rRNA from 1 species
AUUGAACGCUGGCGGCAUGCUUUACACAUGCAAGUCGAACGGCAGCACGAAAGAGCUUGCUCUUUUGGUGGCGAGUGGCGAACGGGUGAGUAAUGCAUCGGAACGUACCGAGUAAUGGGGGAUAACUGUCCGAAAGGAUAGCUAAUACCGCAUACGCUUUGAGAAGGAAAGUGGGGGCUCUUCGGACCUCACGUUAUUCGAGCGGCCGAUGUCUGAUUAGCUAGUUGGUGGGGUAAAGGCCUACCAAGGCGACGAUCAGUAGCGGGUCUGAGAGGAUGAUCCGCCACACUGGGACUGAGACACGGCCCAGACUCCUACGGGAGGCAGCAGUGGGGAAUUUUGGACGAUGGGCGCAAGCCUGAUCCAGCCAUGCCGCGUGUCUGAAGAAGGCCUUCGGGUUGUAAAGGACUUUUGUUAGGGAAGAAAAGGAUAGUGUUAAUACCAUUAUCUGCUGACGGUACCUAAAGAAUAAGCACCGGCUAACUACGUG